CCUACGGGAGGCAGCAGUGAGGAAUAUUGGUCAAUGGGCGGAAGCCUGAACCAGCCAAGUCGCGUGAGGGAUUAAGGCCCUGCGGGUCGUAAACCUCUUUUGCCGGGGAGCAGUGGUUCGGACGCGUUCGGACCGGGAGAGUACCCGGAGAAAAAGCAUCGGCAAACUCGGUGCCAGCAGCCGCGGUAAUAGGGAGGAUGCGAGCGUUAUCCGGAUGUAUUGGGUUUAAAGGGUGCGUAGGCGGGCAUUUAAGCCGGCGGGCAAAUGUCGGGGCUCAACCCCGGCCUGCCGUCGGAACUGGGUGCCUUGAGUGGGCGAGAGGUAUGCGGAAUGCGUGGUGUAGCGGUGAAAUGCAUAGAUAUCACGCAGAACCCCGAUUGCGAAGGCAGCAUACCGGCGCCCUACUGACGUUGAGGCACGAAAGCGUGGGGAGCAAACAGGAUUAGAUACCCGAGUAGUC
rnacentral:rRNA from 1 species